rnacentral:misc_RNA from 1 species
GAUGAAGAACGUAGCGAAAUGCGAUAAGUAAUGUGAAUUGCAGAAUUCAGUGAAUCAUCGAAUCUUUGAACGCACAUUGCGCCCGCCAGUAUUCUGGCGGGCAUGCCUGUUCGAGCGUCAUUUCAACCAUCAAGCCCCCGGGCUUGUGUUGGGGACCUGCGGCUGCCGCAGGCCCUGAAAACCAGUGGCGGGCUCGCUAGUCACUCCGAGCGUAGUAGUUACAUCUCGCUCAGGGCGUGCUGGUUCCGGCCGUUAAAAGCCUUUUACCCCAAGGUUGACCUCGGAUCAGGUAGGAAGACCCGCUGAACUUAAGCAUAUCAAUAAGCGGAGGA